rnacentral:rRNA from 1 species
GACGAACGCUGGCGGCGUGCUUAACACAUGCAAGUCGAACGGACAGGCCAUGCUUUUGUGGGGUGCUCGAGUGGCGAACGGGUGAGUAACACGUGAGUAACCUGCCCUUGACUUUGGGGUAACUUCAGGAGACUGGGGCUCAUACCGGGUAGGAGCUCCUGCUGCGUGGGGGGGGUUGGAGAGUGUCGGCGGUUGGGGAUGGAAUCGCGGCUUAUCAGCUGGUUGGUGGGGUAGGGGCGUACCAGGGCUAUGACGGGUAGCCGGCCUGGGAGGGUGACCGGCGACAUGGGGACUGCGAGAGGCACCAGACUCGUACGGUACGCAGCAGUGGGGAACAUGACACAACGGGCGGAAGCCUGAUGCAGAAACCCUCCGUGCGGGAAGCCGGCUUUCGGGUGGUAAACCGCUGUCUCCUGAGACGAAGAGUGAGUGACGGUAACGGGUAAAGAAGCACCGGCUAACUACGUG